rnacentral:rRNA from 1 species
UCGGGAAUAUUGCGCAAUGGAGGAAACUCUGACGCAGUGACGCCGCGUGCAGGAAGAAGGUUUUCGGAUUGUAAACUGCUUUAGACAGGGAAGAAAAAAGACAGUACCUGUAGAAUAAGCUCCGGCUAACUACGUGCCAGCAGCCGCGGUAAUACGUAGGGAGCGAGCGUUAUCCGGAUUUAUUGGGUGUAAAGGGUGCGUAGACGGGAAUACAAGUUAGUUGUGAAAUACCUCGGCUUAACUGAGGAACUGCAACUAAAACUAUAUUUCUUGAGUACAGGAGAGGUAAGUGGAAUUCCUAGUGUAGCGGUGAAAUGCGUAGAUAUUAGGAGGAACACCAGUGGCGAAGGCGACUUACUGGACUGAAACUGACGUUGAGGCACGAAAGUGUGGGGAGCAAACAGGAUUAGAUACCCUGGUAGUCCACACCGUAAACGAUGGAUACUAGGUGUAGGAGAUAUUAAGUCUUCUGUGCCAUCGCAAACGCAGUAAGUAUCCCACCUGGGGAGUACGGCCGCAAGGUUGAAACUCAAAGGAAUUGACGGGGGCCCGCACAAGCAGUGGAGUAUGUGGUUUAAUUCGAAGCAACGCGAAGAACCUUACCAGGGCUUGACAUAUAGAUGAAUAUAUAAGAGAUUAUAUAGCUCUUCGGAGCAUCUAUACAGGUGGUGCAUGGUUGUCGUCAGCUCGUGUCGUGAGAUGUUGGGUUAAGUCCCGCAACAAGCGCAACCCCUGUUUCUAGUUGCCAGCACGUCAAGGUGGGAACUCUAGAAAGACUGCCGUAGAUAAUACGGAGGAAGGUGGGGAUGACGUCAAAUCAUCAUGCCCUUUAUGUCCUGGGCUACACACGUACUACAAUGGCUGUAACAGAGGGAAGCAAGCUAGUGAUAGCAAGCGAAACCCAAAAAGCAGUCACAGUUCGGAUUGAAGGCUGAAACUCGCCUUCAUGAAGCCGGAAUUGCUAGUAAUGGCAGGUCAGCAUACUGCCGUGAAUACGUUCCC